rnacentral:rRNA from 1 species
UACGUAGGGUCCGAGCGUUGUCCGGAAUUAUUGGGCGUAAAGGGCUCGUAGGCGGUUUGUCGCGUCGGGAGUGAAAACUCAGGGCUCAACCCUGAGCGUGCUUCCGAUACGGGCAGACUAGAGGUAUGCAGGGGAGAACGGAAUUCCUGGUGUAGCGGUGGAAUGCGCAGAUAUCAGGAGGAACACCGGUGGCGAAGGCGGUUCUCUGGGCAUUACCUGACGCUGGAGGAGCGAAAGCAUGGGGAGCGAACAGG